AGCGAGACGGAAAACAAAUACCUUCUCGAGGUCUAGGCAGUAGUAAGCUUGACAACAUUUGAUAAAAAGAUGCCAAGCCGAAACAAAAUUUGU
rnacentral:ribozyme from 1 species